AUGAGCAGCCACCCUAGCUCGUCGGCGGCGGCGGCGGCGCCGCUGGACGACGAAGACCUCCUCUCCGAGAUCCUCCUCCGCCUCCCCCCGCUGCCGUCCUCCCUCCCCCGCGCUUCCCUCGCCUGUAAGCUCUGGGGGCGCAUCGUAUCCGACGCCCGAUUUCUCCGCCGCUUCCGCGAGCACCACCGCCGCAACCCUCCCCUGCUCGGUUGCUUCGUCCAAGGUACCUCCUACGCUGGGUUGCUCGGUUGCUUCUCCUUUCCCAUCGACAGCGGCGACACAUUCAUGAUCCUCGGAUGCCGCCAUGGCCUCAUGCUCAUCUUCCUUUGGACUGGGAACCUGCUCCUGGUAUGGGAUCCCGUCACGGGUGACCAGCACCGCCUAGACAUCCCCCCAGGGUUCGACAAGGAGGAAACCAUGAUUAACGGAGCGGUGCUUCGUGCUGCCGGAGAGGCCCACCAUUUCCAGGUUGUCUUGGUAGGCAACUUACACAGGCUGUGGCCUCAGGUGUACUCGUCGGAGACCGGUGUAUGGAGUAAUCUCGUGUCAACACUGCUUCCGGCGGAUGAUCCUGAUGUACCCACCAGGGUUUACCAUGACAUGUGCUUGUGA
rnacentral:rRNA from 1 species